rnacentral:tmRNA from 1 species
GGGGGCGAUCGGUUUCGACGGGUGGUCGACGACGUCCGUUGCGUGCCGAGGUGCUGCGUCCUCGUUAAUCCCGCGGCAAGGCAACUACAAUUGCCGACGAAAACUUCGCUCUCGCUGCUUAGCUAAUCCCUGAGCUAGUGAGCACUUCCGGGGCCGACGCCUGCUGAGCCCCGGCGGUGUCAUACACGGCAGGCUGGUCCAAGUCCUCGUCGGGGGGAGGCGGACGAGACAACACCCGACUCGCGGCCGGCCAGGCGAGCGCCGGGGCCAGUCCGGCCGCUAAAUCACCUUCGGGUGGCCAACACGGGGCUACGCACGUAGACGCGGGCGGAACAAGCCAUGCGGACGCGGGUUCGAUUCCCGCCGCCUCCACCA